rnacentral:rRNA from 1 species
GAAUUCGCCCUUAGAGUUUGAUCCUGGCUCAGGAUGAACGCUGGCGGCGUGCUUAACACAUGCAAGUCGAACGAGAGAAGAUCGGUGCUUGCACUGAUCCGAUCGAGUGGCGGACGGGUGAGUAACGCGUGGGUAACCUGCCUCAUACAGGGGAAUAACAGUUGGAAACGGCUGCUAAAACCGCAUAAGCGCACGGUAUCGCAUGAUACAGUGUGAAAAACUCCGGUGGUAUGAGAUGGACCCGCGUCUGAUUAGCUAGUUGGUGAGGUAACGGCCCACCAAGGCAACGAUCAGUAGCCGGCCUGAGAGGUUGAACGGCCACAUUGGGACUGAGACACGGCCCAGACUCCUACGGGAGGCAGCAGUGGGGAAUAUUGCACAAUGGGGGAAACCCUGAUGCAGCGACGCCGCGUGGAGGAAGAAGGUCUUCGGAUUGUAAACUCCUGUUGUUGAGGAAGAUAAUGACGGUACUCAACAAGGAAGUGACGGCUAACUACGUGCCAGCAGCCGCGGUAAAACGUAGGUCACAAGCGUUGUCCGGAAUUACUGGGUGUAAAGGGAGCGCAGGCGGGAAGACAAGUUGGAAGUGAAAUCCAUGGGCUCAACCCAUGAACUGCUUUCAAAACUGUUUUUCUUGAGUAGUGCAGAGGUAGGCGGAAUUCCCGGUGUAGCGGUGGAAUGCGUAGAUAUCGGGAGGAACACCAGUGGCGAAGGCGGCCUACUGGGCACCAACUGACGCUGAGGCUCGAAAGUGUGGGUAGCAAACAGGAUUAGAUACCCUGGUAGUCCACACCGUAAACGAUGAUUACUAGGUGUUGGAGGAUUGACCCCUUCAGUGCCGCAGUUAACACAAUAAGUAAUCCACCUGGGGAGUACGACCGCAAGGUUGAAACUCAAAGGAAUUGACGGGGGCCCGCACAAGCAGUGGAGUAUGUGGUUUAAUUCGACGCAACGCGAAGAACCUUACCAAGUCUUGACAUCCCUUGACGAUGCUGGAAACAGUAUUUCUCUUCGGAGCAAGGAGACAGGUGGUGCAUGGUUGUCGUCAGCUCGUGUCGUGAGAUGUUGGGUUAAGUCCCGCAACGAGCGCAACCCCUAUUUCCAGUAGCCAGCAGUCAGAUGGGCACUCUGGAGAGACUGCCGGGGAUAACCCGGAGGAAGGUGGGGAUGACGUCAAAUCAUCAUGCCCCUUAUGAUUUGGGCUACACACGUGCUACAAUGGCAGUUACAAAGAGAAGCGAAACUGUGAAGUGGAGCAAACCUCAAAAAGGCUGUCUCAGUUCGGAUUGUAGUCUGCAACUCGACUACAUGAAGCUGGAAUCGCUAGUAAUCGCAGAUCAGAAUGCUGCGGUGAAUACGUUCCCGGGCCUUGCACACACCGCCCGUCA